GAAUCUAAAAAAAAAAAAAAAACGUAAUAGUAUCGAUAACGGCGGGCGCUGCACGGCCUCCGGUCUUUCUAUAUUAAUGGAUUUUCGCUAAUCAAUAUUUACCAACGAUGAAGAUGACGAUAACAGAUACUUAAUAAUAAUGUGUGUGUGUGUGCACAAGUGGGCGGUAGCGAGCACGUUAUUAAAAAUGAAAAUGAUUUAAACUCGUUAAGGAAAAAAAAA